rnacentral:lncRNA from 1 species
AUGCACACACAUGUACACGCACACAGAGACUCACACACUACAUACACACACGUGCACACACAUGCUCGCGACACCACUCAUACACACAUGUGUACACACAUACACACAUGUGCACACACCACACAUGUACACACACAGACUCACACACUACAUACACACACGUGCACACACAUACACACAGACUCACGACACCACACAUACACACACAUACACACAUACACACACGUGCACACACAUAUACCACAUACACACAGACACACACACCACAUAUGUACAUGCAUACACACAGACUCACACACCACACAUGUGUACACACAUACACACAGAUGCACACAUACACACACCACACAUACAUACACACGACAUACACACACGUGUACACACAUACACAGACUCACACCACACAUGCACACACAUGUACACACAGAUUCACACAGAACACAUACACACAUGUGUACACACAUACACAGACACACACACCACGCGUGCACACACAUACAGACUCACACCACAUAUACACAUAUGUGCACACACAUAUACCACAUACACACACCACACAUACACACAUGUGCCCACACAGACUCACACCACACACACACAUGCACACAUGCACACAGACUCUCAUACACUACACACACAUGCACACACACCACACAUACACACAUGUGCACACACAUAUACCACAUACACACAGACUCACACACACCAACCAGUAGUACACACACCACACAUAUACACACAUGUGCACACAGACUGUUACACUACACACAGACACACAUGCACAUAUACACCACACAUACACACACGUGCACAGACUCCCACACACCCAAAGACACACAAAUAUAUGCACAUGCACACUUACACUCACAGACUCUCACACACAGACUCACCCACGUGAAGACACACACACUCACACAUCCAGAUACUGAUACAAACACAUACAUACAUAGAUGCACACACAAACAUACAUGCACGCAGAUACACGAACACAUACGUGCACACAUGAAGGCACAUACACACAGAGAUACACAGAUACCUGUUCAAACGCCUGCUUGCAUACAUGCACACACACGCGCUCUGUGCCUGGCCCCCUACACGUUUACACCCUCUGCUGAGCGACCACUGGGACGGAGCCGCGCGGGCAUGGGGCGGCGGCCGGGUGCUGUCGCGAGGUCGCACUUCCAGUCAUCGCCCGCGCUGGCUCCGGUGGCUCCCCCGCUUCUCCAGGGAAGCAUCUGA